AUCAGUACAUUUACUGUAUUUUUAAUCAAAUAAAUGCAGCUUUGGUGAGCAUAACCCCCAAAUGGUAGUGUAUAAAAAUAGUGGAAUUAUCAUAUAAAUAGUACAAUUCAUGAAUUAUCAAACACUCGCUGGUCACUGAAGUAACGGUCUUGCUAAUAUUGCUAACUCUUCUUAUUUGGUUUCUAUUACUUAACUAUUACUUUCUUUGUGUUGUUUAACAGGAAACGCUGUGAUUGUAGGAAUGCCUAUUCCUAAAAACUCAGAUGGAGACACUUCUGUACUGAUCACUCCAGAUGUACAUGUGGCACAAGAAUAGAGCAAACAAUAACCUCCAGACUUGUUAAGGAGAAUGACUCUUCCCUGUUUCUGGCUGCUGUAGAAAUGAGGACACUGCUCUAGAAAUGUGUUUGAGCGUCACUGGUUUUUAUUACCCAGUGCCUGUGCGGUUUGUGGCUCAUUUGAUCUCCAAAUAUAUUGCUAUUUUUGUUUACAUAAUUUUAUAAUUGCGUUUUGGUUGCUUGAAUGUCUCAGAGAGAUAUUUAUAUUGUAAUGCUUCAUUGAUGUGCCAUUUAAAGCAGCUGUAUGUAGUUUUGUGUAUUUUUGCUACUUUGGAGCCCCCUACAGUUGAGUGAGUCGUAAAUAUAUCACUGUCCUACAGUGGGUCACUGCAUAUGUGCAUUUGUUGCUGUCAUAAAGCAAAAUUUCAUACCUGCUAUAUAAUAAAUGCAUUUUGUGUGCGUUACAUCACAGUAAUUCUUAAGAACAUAAAGUUUUUAUUGUUAAUAUUGUAUUUGUACAAUGUAAAGUCAUUAAGUCUCCAAUACAUGAUAAUAAGUCCAACAGUCUUUUCUUAUCUGUAUAUGCACAUAAACAGUGAUAGUUUAUCUAACAGACAACUAUAUGUGGUUUAUUUUGCUACCGUUGCAAGCAAACCUUGAAAAAACCUGAUUUGGUAUUAUGUUGAUUUUUUUGAAGAUUCAAGCGAAUGUAUAAAUAAUGAACAUUAUGCAAUAAGAUCAUUAAGGCAGGGGUUCAGAGUUUAAAGGACCACUGAAAUCAUGUCUCACUGGUGAUAAAGCAAGCGAAUGUUUUGUUUAUUGUGGUAAUAUUGCACAGCCUCAGGGAUGGUUUUGUCUGAGUUUCUGUGUGUAAAAACGUUUUGUUUAUAAUUGAAAUGAUAUGAUUUCUGCACGAUUUCUAUGUGGAAUAAUGAGAGAUGAAUAAAUAUAGUCAAUAACUGCAUCGA